rnacentral:rRNA from 1 species
AUACGUAGGCACCAAGCGUUGUUCGGAAUUACUGGGCGUAAAGCGAGUGUAGGCGGUUUGCCAAGUCCGUUGUGAAAUCUCCUGGCUCAACUGGGAGGGUGCGGCGGAAACUGGCAGGCUAGAGUGCGGAAGAGGAGAGUGGAAUUCCUGGUGUAGCGGUGAAAUGCGUAGAUAUCAGGAGGAACACCGGCGGUGAAGACGGCUCUCUGGACCGCUACUGACGCUGAGACUCGAAAGCGUGGGGAGCAAACAGGAUUAGAAACCCCAGUAGUCC